rnacentral:lncRNA from 1 species
CAGGUCGGGGUUCGCGGGCGGGGGUGAGGCGUGGCCCCGACUGCCGGGCCGCGAUAAGCGCCCUGCGACCCGGCUGAAAGCGCACACGUGUCCUGCCGCGCUGAGCCGCCAGCAGGACUGGUACCACCGCCCUCCCUCGGGGCUAGGGUCACCCUGCCGUGACACGCAGGGACAAGCCAAACACUCCCGCCUCCGGGAUCGAACGGAAUGAACCAGAGUGAUUAACUACGAGAAUCACCAGGCGCUCAUUGGGCUGAUCAGUACCUCGUCUGACCUAGCUGGGUUUGGUCGCCGUCACUGGCCGGAGCGCCGAAGCACCGGGGACGCUGACGCACAGCUCACCCAGAUAAGUGAAAAGAAUAAAAUUUUAUGAUACCAGAAAAAAUGAAAACAUUUCCAGCAAGAUCUGAAGGCACUACAGGAGGAGACUGAACAAAAAUGGAGAAAACACACACGAAACUGAUAUGAAGCACAUUUUUAAAAAUGGAUACUUAGUUGAAUAUAGCAUUCUGUAAUUAUGCAAAGUAAAAACAAAUCAAAACCCUAUACAUAGAGGCCAGGCACGGUGGCUCACGCCUGUAAUCCUAGUACUUUGGGAGGCCGAGGCAGGUGGAUCACCUGAUAUCAGGACUUCAAGAGCAGCCUGGCCAACAUGGUGAAACCCUUCUCUACUAAAAAUACAAAAAUUAGCCGGGCAUGGUGGCUCAUGCCUGUAAUCCCAGCUACCCAGGAGGCUGAGGCAGGAGAAUUGCUGGAGCCAGGGAGGCAGAGGCUGCAGUGAGCCAAGAUCAUGUCACUGCACUCUAGCCUGGGUGACAACGUGAGACUCCAUCUCAAAAAAAAAAAAAAAAAAAAAAAACCUAUACAUAGAAAAUUGCUGGGCAAGGAGUGACAGCUCACUCCUGUAAUCCCAACACUUUGGGAGGCAGAGGCCAAAGAAUUGCUUGAGCCCAGGAGUUCAAGACCAGCCUGGGCAACAUACUGAGACCCUAUCUCUACAAAAAAAAAAUAUUUUAAAUUACACUGGGUGUGGUGGCUUACACCUGUAAUCCCAGCACUUUGGGAGGAGGCCAGAGGAUUGCUUGAGCCCAAGAAUUCGAGACAAGCCUAGGCAACACAGGGAGCCCCUGUCUCUACA